UAGCCUUGAUUUAAUCCUAAAAAUCGUGUCCUUGUUGUAGUUAUACCAAGCGCAAGACGCUCUUCGACGUGAUACAAUUUGUUUGGCACAAGAAUCACGUUUGCGGCAAGUCGGAUUUUCAAGAAAAGAUUCCGGACGAAACGGGAUUUGAUUUUAGGGAGAGCAUAAGACGUCUAUAAGGUACAGACAUUGGUGAUCCUCCACUGUAGGCUUCACUUUUCUGCUAUUUCGGAGUACUCCUCCUUGAUCCGGAGUCCACUUCUGGUACAGACAUCUUUUGCUAUGUAUAUUUUGUACAUCUGACUAUUGGGUACGGCGGGGCCCUGUCUCGCCAUAUGUCUUUGUUUUGGAUUCGUAGAGGCCUGUAGUCAUGUGUGUGGGGCGAGGGUCCUAUAUAUGUUUAUUCGAUUUUGUUUUCUGGUCUUAAAGCGGUCCGUUUGUUAUGAUGGCCCUAAAUGGCCCUUAUGCUUAUAUUUGCACUUAUGACCGGCGAUGUCUAUUCCGCCGCUCCUUUCGGAUUCGAUAUGAUAUUUUGAUAUGUGCGACCGCUUAAGACAUACUUUGAUAUAAAUUAUGUUUGAUAUGACUUUUAUGAAAUUUUGAAAUAAGUUUGGAUUCGGUAAAUGAAUGUGC